rnacentral:miRNA from 1 species
UGGACGUUACCAAUGCCAGGGA